UGCAUGGCCGUCGUCAGCUCGUGUCGUGAGGUGUACGGGUUAAGUACCCAUAACGAGCGCAACCUUACCGUUAGUUACCAUCAGGUUAAGCUGGGGACUCUAGCGGGACUGCCACCGUAAGGUGAGAGGAAGGUCGGGGAUGACGUCAAAUCAGCACGGCCCUUAUGUCCAGGGCUACACACGUGUUACAAUGGCCAGUACAAAGGGCAGCUACCGGGUGACCGGAUGCUAAUCUCUAAAGCUGGUCUCAGUUCGGAUCGAAGUCUGCAACCCGACUUCGUGAAGCUGGAUUCGCUAGUAAUCGCGCAUCAGCCAUGGCGCGGUGAAUACGUUCCCGGGCCUU
rnacentral:rRNA from 1 species